rnacentral:rRNA from 1 species
GAGGAAUAUUGGUCAAUGGGCGUAAGCCUGAACCCAGCAAAGUCGCGUGAGGGAUGAAGGUUUCUAUGGAUCGUAAACCUCUUUUUAUAAGGGAAUAAAGUGCGGGACGUGUCCCCGUUUUGUAUGUACCUUAUGAAUAAGGAUCGGCUAACUCCGUGCCAGCAGCCGCGGUAAUACGGAGGAUCCGAGCGUUAUCCGGAUUUAUUGGGUUUAAAGGGUGCGUAGGCGGCCUUUUAAGUCAGCGGUGAAAGUCUGUGGCUCAACCAUAGAAUUGCCGUUGAAACUGGGGGGCUUGAGUAUGUUUGAGGCAGGCGGAAUGCGUGGUGUAGCGGUGAAAUGCUUAGAUAUCACGCAGAACCCCGAUUGCGAAGGCAGCCUGCCAAGCCAUGACUGACGCUGAUGCACGAAAGCGUGGGGAUCAAACAGGAUUAGAUACCCUGGUAGUCCACGCAGUAAACGAUGAUCACUAGCUGUUUGCGAUACAGUGUAAGCGGCACAGCGAAAGCGUUAAGUGAUCCACCUGGGGAGUACGCCGGCAACGGUGAAACUCAAAGGAAUUGACGGGGGCCCGCACAAGCGGAGGAACAUGUGGUUUAAUUCGAUGAUACGCGAGGAACCUUACCCGGGUUUGAACGCAUUCGGACCGAGGUGGAAACACCUUUUCUAGCAAUAGCCGUUUGCGAGGUGCUGCAUGGUUGUCGUCAGCUCGUGCCGUGAGGUGUCGGCUUAAGUGCCAUAACGAGCGCAACCCUUGCCACUAGUUACUAACAGGUGAUGCUGAGGACUCUGGUGGGACUGCCAGCGUAAGCUGCGAGGAAGGCGGGGAUGACGUCAAAUCAGCACGGCCCUUACAUCCGGGGCGACACACGUGUUACAAUGGCGUGGACAAAGGGAAGCCACCUGGCGACAGGGAGCGAAUCCCCAAACCACGUCUCAGUUCGGAUCGGAGUCUGCAACCCGACUCCGUGAAGCUGGAUUCGCUAGUAAUCGCGCAUCAGCCAUGGCGCGGUGAAUACGUUCCCGGGCCUUGUACACACCGAAGGGCGAAUUCCAGCACACUGGCGGCCGUUACUAG